rnacentral:rRNA from 1 species
AAAUAAGCGGAGGAAAAGAAACUAACAAGGAUUCCCUUAGUAACUGCGAGUGAAGAGGGAUGAGCCCAGCACCGAAGCUCUCGCCAUAAAUGGCGCUGCGCAAUGUGGUGUUUAAAGGAAACCGUUUCCGACGGACUGCCGUUGCCUAAGUCCCCCUGACCGGGGCCAUCGCCCAUGGCGGGUGCAAGGCCCUUGUGGCAAAUGCGGCAGUCUGGAGGAUGGUUACCUUUUUGGAGUCGGGUUGCUUGAGAGUGCAGCCCUAAGUCGGUGGUAAACUCCAUCGAAGGCUAAAUACAAACACGAGACCGAUAGCAAACAAGUACCGUGAGGGAAAGUUGCAAAGAACUUUGGAGAGAGAGUUCAAGAGUACGUGAAACCGCUCGGAGGUAAACGGGUGGGACCUCGAAGGUCGAACGGGUGGAUUCAACCCGUCGGUGGUUGCGCUGCUGCAGAUACGCCCUAGGUAACAGAUCCGACGGACUGGUCUGCGGCAUGCAAGAGCAGCCGUAACCGGCGGGCGCACUUCCACCUUAGUAGGACGCCGCGACCGGUCGGUUUAAAAGAGCAGCCAUAAGUCGAAACGGUUAGCAGGUAUCCGUUGCCGGUAAGUUAUUGCUCGUGGUAAUUCACGUGGCAAGAGCCCCGGUCGGAGUUACAGCCCGUUUUCUGUACGAUUGGCCCUGUUCACCGACCGUUGCAUAUAAAGACUUUCUUUGUCGGCGUGCCUGGCUAACAAGAAAUGCAGCGUCCGUUCUCGGGAGGCUGGGUCUAGGUUUAAAUGCUGACUGACGCCUGUAAACGGGCGGCUGUUGCACCUAGUCCUGCCAUUUAUCCCUGGGAAAUAUGCAUUUAUGAGGCUGACGCGAUUUGGCACUGGUUGUCUGCGGCGAGUAGGUCGGUAACCCACCCGACCCGUCUUGAAACACGGACCAAGGAGUCUAACAUGUGCGCAAGUCAUGAGGUUCUUGUAAAAAAGAGACCCGAUGGCGAAAUGAAAGUAAAGGUGUCAUUUGAUGACAUUAAGGCGAGACCAAACGAAAGAAAUUGAGUUUGUGCAUCGCUGGCCCGUCUCAACCGCUAACGUCGGUAAGGCGGAGCUUGAGCGCACACGUUGGGACCCGAAAGAUGGUGAACUAUGCCUGUACAGGACGAAGCCAGAGGAAACUCUGGUGGAGGUCCGUAGCGAUUCUGACGUGCAAAUCGAUCGUCUGAUAUAGGUAUAGGGGCGAAAGACUAAUCGAACCAUCUAGUAGCUGGUUCCCUCCGAAGUUUCCCUCAGGAUAGCUGGCACUCGCGUGCAGUUUCAUCCGGUAAAGCGAAUGAUUAGAGGCCUUGGGGUCGAAACGACCUCAACCUAUUCUCAAACUUUCAAUGGGUGAGAAGUCUAGCUUGCUCGAACAGCUACGGCUGAAGCGUAGACAUUGAAUGCGAGUGCCCAGUGGGCCACUUUUGGUAAGCAGAACUGGCGCUGUGGGAUGAACCAAACGCCGGGUUAUGGCGCCCGAUGCGGACGCUCAUGAGACCCCAUGAAAGGUGUUGGUGCUAUGACAGCAGNNNNNNNNNNNNNNNNNNNNNNNNNNNNNNNNNNNNNNNNNNNNNNNNNNNNNNUUCCAUGUGAACAGCAGUUGAACAUGGGUCAGUCGGCCCUAAGGAAUAGGGGAAACCCGUUCCGAACAAGGUGAUAUACUAACAUGUUGAUCCUUGUAAAACCGAAAGGGAAUCGGGUUAAUAUUCCCGAACCCGGACGUGGAGAUGGGCCCCCUUGCGGGGUCUGAAGCGGUAACGCGAACGAACUUGGAGAUGCCGGCGGCAGUCCCGGGAAGAGUUUUCUUUUCUUUGUAAGGGACGUACUCCCUGGAAUCGGUUCGACCGGAGAGAGGGAUGUUGUACCCGUAAAGCACCGCGGCUCUUGCGGUGUCCGGAGCACUGUCGCUGGCCCUUGAAAAUCCAAGGGAGUAAAAAAAUCAUUUCCACGCCGGGCCGUACCCAUAUCCGCAGCAGGUCUCCAAGGUGAACAGCCUCUAGUCGAUAGAACA